GCCCGAAGCCCUUGGGUUGAGGGCACGUCUGCCUGGGUGUCACGCAAUGUUUGCCCAAACCCAAAUUGCAAUGGGAUUUGGGCGGAUGUUGGUCUCCCGUGAGCCCUCUGCUUGCGGUUGGCCCAAAAAUGAGCCCUGUUGAUGUUCUACACGGCAAUCGGUGGUGUAAAGACCCUCGGACAAAGUCGUGUGCUCUCGUCACAUCGGCAUUAAUGGCCCCAAUGCAAUCAUUGCAUGAUAUCAAAGCGACCCCAGGUCAGGCGAGACUACCCGCUGAGUUUAAGCAUAUCAAUAAGCGGAGGAAAAGAAACUUACCAGGAUUCCCUUAGUAACGGCGAGCGAACCGGGAAAAGCCC
rnacentral:rRNA from 1 species